rnacentral:rRNA from 1 species
UCCUACGGGACGCAGCAGUGGGGAAUAUUGCACAAUGGGGGAAACCCUGAUGCAGCGACGCCGCGUGAGCGAUGAAGUAUUUCGGCGCGUAAAGCCCUAUCGGCAGGGAAGAAGGAGGACGGUACCUGACUAAGAAGCCCCGGCUAACUACGUGCCAGCAGCCGCGGUAAUACGUAGGGGGCAAGCGUUAUCCGGAUUUACUGGGUGUAAAGGGGGCGCAGACGGCAGCGCAAGCCAGGAGUGAAAGCCCGGGGCCCAACCCCGGGACUGCUCUUGGAACUGCGCGGCUGGAGUGCAGGAGGGGC